UCUCGGAAUCUCCCAGCCGGAGAUAUCAGUCGCCAUCUUUUUUUCGCUCCCUGUGACGUUUGAUUCAACAAUCCCGCUUUUUCUACAAUUAGCUCAGAUAAAUUCACUGUUGGAAGUCCCCAUCUAUUUAGAUUUACAGCAGCAAUGCAAACGUCUCGUAGUCAAGAAGCUGAGGUGGAGAUUAAACGUGCUUUGACUUGUUGCUUGAGCUUUCUACGAAAUAGCCUGAAGGAAGCUAGGCGCUGCAGAACAAGACAGAAAGAGACUAAUUUGUCAAUGUGCAAACUCUCGAAUACAAAGCAAGCGGUGCAAGUAGGCGAUGUGUUUUUUCUCAUCCAAUGAAAAGGAAUAUUUGGAAUAGCCAUGAAAUCUUAGGAAAGAUAGGUGGAAACUUCCCGUAAAGCGUGUGGAUAUGAGACUCUUUGAGUUUGUUAAAGGUGUUCGAAAGUCUUACUAAGGAAAAGGUUAUGUACCAUAAAAGAUUCCAAAUACCAAAAGCAGUCGUAAUAUUUGACUCUGAAGUUGUAUUCAAUGGGUGUACAAACCAAAGA